GAUGAACGCUAGCGGCAGGCUUAACACAUGCAAGUCGAGGGGUAGAAGGAGCUUGCUCCUUUGAGACCGGCGCACGGGUGCGUAACGCGUAUGCAAUCUACCUUGUACAGGGGGAUAGCCCUGAGAAAUUUGGAUUAAUACCCCAUAGUGUAAUGAAUAGGCAUCUAUUUAUUACUAAAGUUCCAACGGUACAAGAUGAGCAUGCGUCCCAUUAGCUAGUUGGUGUGGUAACGGCAUACCAAGGCAACGAUGGGUAGGGGUCCUGAGAGGGAGAUCCCCCACACUGGUACUGAGACACGGACCAGACUCCUACGGGAGGCAGCAGUGAGGAAUAUUGGUCAAUGGGCGCAAGCCUGAACCAGCCAUGCCGCGUGCAGGAUGACGGUCCUAUGGAUUGUAAACUGCUUUUGUACAGGAAGAAACACUCCCUCGUGAGGGAGCUUGACGGUACUGUAAGAAUAAGGAUCGGCUAACUCCGUGCCAGCCGCCGCCGUAACAC
rnacentral:rRNA from 1 species